AUUGAACGCUGGCGGCAGGCCUAACACAUGCAAGUCGAACGAGUGGCGGACGGGUGAGUAAUGUCUGGGUAACUGCCCGAUGGAGGGGGAUAACUACUGGAAACGGUAGCUAAUACCGCAUACCAUCGGAUGUGCCCAGAUGGGAUGAGCUAGUGGGGGGGGUAUCGGCUCACCUGGGCGACGAUCCCUAGCUGGUCUGAGAGGAUGACCAGCCACACUGGAACUGAGACAUGGUCCAGACUCCUACGGGAGGCAGCAUUGGGGAUUAUUGCACAAGGGGCGCAAGCCUGAUGCAGCCAUGCCGCGUGUAUGAAGAAGGCCUUCGGGUUGUAAAGUACUUUCAGCGAGGAGGCGUUACUCGCAGAAGAAGCACCGGCUAACUCCGUGCCAGCAGCCGCGGUAAUUC
rnacentral:rRNA from 1 species